AGAGUUUGAUCCUGGCUCAGAGCGAACGCUGGCGGCAGGCCUAACACAUGCAAGUCGAACGAACCCUUCGGGGUUAGUGGCGGACGGGUGAGUAACACGUGGGAACGUACCUUUAGGUUCGGAACAACACAGGGAAACUUGUGCUAAUGCCGAAUGUGCCCUUCGGGGGAAGGAUUUAUCGCUUUAGAGCGGCCCGCGUCUGAUUAGCUUGUUGGUGAGGUAAAGGCUCACCAAGGCUUCGAUCAGUAGCUGGUCUGAGAGGAUGAUCAGCCACACUGGGACUGAGACACGGCCCAGACUCCUACGGGAGGCAGCAGUGGGGAAUCUUGCGCAAUGGGCGAAAGCCUGACGCAGCCAUGCCGCGUGAAUGAUGAAGGUCUUAGGAUUGUAAAAUUCUUUCACCGGGGAAGAUAAUGACGGUACCCGGAGAAGAAGCCCCGGCUAACUUCGUGCCAGCAGCCGCGGUAAUACGAAGGGGGCUAGCGUUGCUCGGAUUUACUGGGCGUAAAGGGCGCGUAGGCGGACAGUUUAGUCAGAGGUGAAAGCCCGGGGCUCAACCCCGGAAUAGCCUUUGAUACUGGUUGUCUUGAGUUUGGGAGAGGUGUGCGGAACUCCGAGUGUAGAGGUGAAAUUCGUAGAUAUUCGGAAGAACACCAGUGGCGAAGGCGGCACACUGGCCCAAUACUGACGCUGAGGCGCGAAAGCGUGGGGAGCAAACAGGAUUAGAUACCCUGGUAGUCCACGCCGUAAACGAUGAUUGCUAGUUGUCGGCACGCAUGCGUGUCGGUGACGCAGCUAACGCAUUAAGCAAUCCGCCUGGGGAGUACGGUCGCAAGAUUAAAACUCAAAGGAAUUGACGG
rnacentral:rRNA from 1 species